CAGGAGGCUGGCGCCAAUGUGCAGUCUGAGGCAUGGACGAGGCCUGCUGAGCCCUCUGGAACCACCCCCAAAUCCCCAAUCCUUUGGCAACGGAUGGCGCCUCCCGCCCUGAUAGCCAUCACUUUGAAACCGUUGCUCCCUUAGAUCUCAUCCUGGCCUUGGGUGUCCUGGCCCAAGGCCGGCCGGUGUCCAGGCACAGCAGAGUCCCCUGGAGACGGCUCUUCCGGAAGCCUGCUGUCUGGGCAGCCAUCGUCUCCCAGCUCUCUGCAGCCUGCUCCUUCUUCGUCCUCCUCUCCUGGCUGCCCACCUUCUUCAAGGAGACCUUCCCCGACGCCAAGGUGAGUCGGGGGCUCCCGCAGGGUGAAGGAGCCCCCAGAAGGCACGAGGCUUGAGCUGCACCAGGCACCGUGGGUCCUUGGCCUGCAGAUGGCGGAACCCUCGGCUCCUCCUGGUCUCUGAGGGUCCUGGCACUGCCAGGCUCUUCCUCUGGAGAGGACCCCGUCCAUG
rnacentral:sRNA from 1 species